rnacentral:rRNA from 1 species
CCUACGGGUGGCAGCAGUGGGGAAUAUUGGGCAAUGGGCGCAAGCCUGACCCAGCAACGCCGCGUGAAGGAAGAAGGCUCUCGGGUUGUAAACUUCUUUUUUGAGGGACGAAGAAAGUGACGGUAGCUCAGGAAUAAGCCACGGCUAACUACGGGCCAGCAGCUGCGGUAAUACGUAGGUGGCAAGCGUUAUCCGGAUUUAUUGGGUGUACAGGGCGUGUAGGCGGGAAAGCAAGUCAGAUGUGAAAAUUCAGGGCCCAACCCUGAGCCUGGAUUGGAAACUGUUUUUCUUGAGUGCUGGAGAGGCAAUCGGAAUUCCGGGUGUAGCGGUGAAAUGCGUAGAUAUACGGAGGAACACCAGUGGCGAAGGCAGAUUGCUGGACAGUAACUGACGCUGAGGCGCGAAAGCGUGGGGAGCGAACAGGAUUAGAUACCCGGGUAGUC